UUCGGAAGGGAUGUAUUAUUAGAUUAAAAACCCAAUGCCCUUCGGGGCUCACUGGUGAUUCAUAAUAACUUCACGAAUCGCAUGGCCUUGUGCCGGCGAUGGUUCAUUCAAAUUUCUGCCCUAUCAACUUUCGACGGCUGGGUAUUGGCCAGCCGUGGUUACAACGGGUAACGGAGGGUUAGGGCUUGACCCCGGAGAAGGAGCCUGAGAAACGGCUACUACAUCCAAGGAAGGCAGCAGGCGCGCAAAUUACCCAAUCCCGACUCGGGGAGGUAGUGACAAUAAAUACUGAUACAGGGCUCUUUUGGGUCUUGUAAUUGGAAUGAGUACAAUUUAAAUCCCUUAACGAGGAACAAUUGGAGGGCAAGUCUGGUGCCAGCAGCCGCGGUAAUUCCAGCUCCAAUAGCGUAUAUUAAAGUUGUUGCAGUUAAAAAGCUCGUAGUUGAACCUUGGGCCUGGCUGGCCGGUCUGCCUCACCGCAUGCACUGGUCCGGCCGGGCCUUUCCCUCUGGGGAUCCGCAUGCCCUUCACUGGGUGUGUCGGGGAACCAGGACUUUUACUGUGAAAAAAUUAGAGUGUUCAAAGCAGGCAUAUGCUCGAAUACAUUAGCAUGGAAUAAUAGAAUAGGACGUCGCGGUUCUAUUUUGUUGGUUUCUAGGACCGCCGUAAUGAUUAAUAGGGACAGUCGGGGGCAUCAGUAUUCAAUCGUCAGAGGUGAAAUUCUUGGAUCGAUUGAAGACUAACUACUGCGAAAGCAUUUGCCAAGGAUGUUUUCAUUAAUCAGGAACGAAAGUUAGGGGAUCGAAAACGAUCAGAUACCGUUGUAGUCUUAACCAUAAACUAUGCCGACUAGGGAUCGGGCGGUGUUAUUUCUUGACCCGCUCGGCACCUUACACGAAAGUAAAG
rnacentral:rRNA from 1 species